ACAAUGGGCGAAAGCCUGAUCCAGCCAUGCCGCGUGUGUGAAGAAGGUCUUCGGAUUGUAAAGCACUUUAAGUUGGGAGGAAGGGCUGUAGGUUAAUACCUUGCAGUUUUGACGUUACCGACAGAAUAAGCACCGGCUAACUCU
rnacentral:rRNA from 1 species